UGACAGGCAGCCUGGAGUGGGGCGUCCGCGGUGGCGCUGCUGCUUCUUCCGGGCAAAAUCCUGCCGUCGCCUGCAAAACGCCCUUCGCUUGCCAGGUUCGGAGGCGCCUCCGUGGUGGCCCCGGGGAGCAUUCCGUAUUGGCCGUCCGAAGCUUCAGCGCGAAUGGUGGACUCCGCUGCAGGGCUGCUGUAGCGCAGACCAUUUCCCCACACCCGUCUCCCCGCGUGAAGCCAGCCAGGGCCAAGCUAGAAAGCGGGACUUCGUGCACGCUCCGACCAUUCGCUGUAUCUUUGGAGUUCAUUAUUCCUAAUUCUGAUGGCAUUUUCCUUCGCGAUAAGCCGAGAGGUCCUAGGAUGCCGGAUAUCCCUACACCUUAUUCCACAUUCUGGAAAGACGUAGCGGUGAAUAAGCUGGAGGAGGAUAAUUUAUCGGCACCCAUCCCAAUGGCCCUCUGUGACACUUUUAAGACUGAUUCAGGCUGUAUGUGCUUAUUUAAAAUGCUUCUAAGUUACCCAUUCCUGCAAAAAUCUGGAAUCCACCGCUCAGGGUCAACAGACACUGGUGUCAGUACAGUGGUACCUCGGGUUACGUACUUAAUUCGUUCUGGAGGUCCGUUCUUAACCUGAAACUGUUCUUAACCUGAAGCACCACUUUAGCUAAUGGGGCCUCUCGCUGCUGCCGCGCUGCUGGAGCACAAUUUCUGUUCUCAUCCUGAAGCAAAGUUCUUAAUCCGAGGUACUAUUUCUGGGUUAGCGGAGUCUGUAACCUGAAGCGUCUGUAAUUCGAGGUACCACUGUGUGUGUGUGUGUGUGUGUGUGUGUAUACUGUAUAUAUAUAGAACAAGUUGGUACAAAGUACAUCAGAACAAACAUUAUUCAAGUUUGGAAAAGAUCAACAUUGUAUAGUUUAAUACAGGAUAUAGUUCAGCACAAGGGGGAAGACAUAAAAAAAGGAAGGGAUUGACCUUUAUUAAUACAAUUUUCUUAUAACACUCCCCUUUGAGCUUGAACCAGGAUGUCUGUCAUCUCCCAUGCAUUCUUUCCACAUGAUGACCAUUGAAUCUUCUCCUGGUGAUGCCCCUCUUCAGCAGAAGUCUCUUAGUGAGCACACACCAAUUAAUUGACCCCCACCCCACCCCGCCUGCUGCUCCUGCCCUGGGACGUGCCCCUUUGCAGCCCAGAAUAGGCUCCCUGGCCCAGAAGGCAUCCCCCUCCUCACGGAGUUCUCCCCCGAACUUGACCCACUCCUCUGCCCCCUCAGCCCACCCUGCAGGACGCCAACCCUAGGAAUGCUCCCAUCCCUGCAGUGCAUUAUUCUGCUGCCUCCAUUGUCAGCAAGAGCAACCAGGUGAGUGAGGGACUUCUCAAGUUAUUUCCACUCUCCUUUAACUUGGGAGAAACUUUCACAGACCACUAUCUCAUCAGAUGCAUGAAGUCUAAUAAUCCUAUUAUUACCAUCAUUAUCACUACAUGUUACCUGUUAUAGGAAAAUCCUUGGGCUCACUUGGAUUACCAAGCAAAGACACCAGCCAGGAAUAUAGGACCAAAACAGCAGCCAGUAGGCCUGGUCUUUAUUCAAAUGACUUGUUGCAACAGGACUUCCACCCACCCCACAGAAGCAGCAGGAAGAAGCCCACAACAAAGGAUGGCUCCCACUUUUAUCAGUUUUACAAAGAUACCCACAACACCCCUAAAAUUACAUCAUCCAUACAUCACAAAUACAUCACACAUUGGGAGGGUCUGGCGACAGAAACCUGAGCAUCAGGUUCCUUCUCUUGACCUCCAACAUACACCCAUCAAGUGAUACAGAAGAGAUAUUUACAUGUCCUUGUUUCCCAACCAAGUUGAUCACACCCUUUUGUCUUGAUCUGGGUUUGCUAUUGCUUCUGGAAUUGCUACCUGUCUGGACUCAGGUAUUAGGAUGCCAGAGAUUAUCACUCAGGCAGAGGGGCUGCUGAGUACCUGAGCUCAGCAGAUUUAGGGAUUAUAGCUGCCCUCACUCAUGUCCCAAGCUCCCCCCUUGGUAGCCAUUUCCUUCCUGAACAGAACAACGUUGAAAAUUGGUGGUGUCGUGUGUUAUGUGGUGCUCUGAGGAGACAUUGCGUGUGUGAACAAAGGGGGGAUGCAUACUGCGUGCUGGAGGGGCAACCCCCCCCCCCAUCAUUAUAAAAAAUCCUGUAGUAAUGAGAAUUAUAAAAAACAUAUGGUGCUGUAAGAAAAGUAUAAAAUGCCGUGCCUUCCUUUUGUUCAGGGUUCUUUCUCCAUACCACAUUGGAUGAUUAGGAGCGAGAACCCCUGUUGCAACUGCGCUCUAUAUUUUGCAAUAAAGGAUCAGGCGUAACUGGUCCCUUCUUCGCCAUCCCUUUCGACCCAAGUGACAGAAUACUCAAGUAUGGGAACUGUUAAUACAAACUGACACCUAUCUCACCAUGGGACGGGCUUUCUUCAGUGGAACCGCCUCACUUGCCAUAACAGAACUUACAUUUUGUCUCAAUGGGGAAAGACUGUGAGACAUUUGGAUAGUGCUGAAGUAGGUAUGGGAUUGUGGGAGGGUUCCACCAAAGCUAUGAAUCUUGAACAUUGGACGUACGGCUUCACAUGCAUCUGCUCCGACACUGAUUCCGUCCUCCAAGGUGUUUGUGUUCAUUGCUUUGGUUGCAUUUGGGACGUUGGGAACGUAGGUGAGUGGAAAGGGAAACUUACCUAGAGGGCUGGCUGUAUACAAUGCAACCCCUGUUGCAACUGCACUCUGUAUUUUGCAAUAAAGGAUCAGGUGUAACCACUGCUGUGUUUUGAAUUCUAUCUGGUUGGUCUCUUGUCAUUUCAUCUCCAACCCGAGUAACCUCAUUAAUUAAUACAAUUUGAAUUGUUCUUAACAAUAAAUAUAACAAGGAAAGAGAAAAAAAGACCAAAUACAUCUUUUCCUUCUCAUGAAGGAGCCAAGGCUCUCUUUGAAACUAG
rnacentral:lncRNA from 1 species